rnacentral:lncRNA from 1 species
CGGAUGCAUAAAACUCAUGAAGUUCAAAUAUAUGGAAAGUGAAUGAAGCUCCUUAAACAAGUGUCUUAUGGUAGUUUGGAAAAAAUCUUUAAUCACUACAGAAAAUUAAUAGUAUAUUGUAUACCUAGUAGGAAAAGCUUAACAUUCCCGGGCGAUCGUAAAAAUUGCCAGUCGAGGCGCAAGCCGAGACUGGCAAUACGGAGUCCGGGAAUGUGGCUUUUCCUACGAGGUCUACAUACUAUUUUUCCGAAAAUCGGGAAUCAUUAAAAUUACGGUAAAUUAUUACUAAUCAUGUUAAAAAUUUUAAAUCAACAUUAUUAUUUUUCCUUUAAAUAAAAGAAGCCAUGAAACAUUGUUUUGUAACUACGGAAACGAAGUACAUAAUUUUAAAUUGUCAAACUUGACGAGUGAAAAGUUUAUUUGUGGCGUCUUUCCAAAGUGUUGAUUUUUUAACGUUUUAAAAAGCCAAAGUAACGUGUAAAAUGAUGAGUGAUAAUGACUGUUCCAUUUCUGAAACCCUCCCAGAACUCACGGAGGCAAUGAAUGCUGCAUCAUUGGAAUUGUUACCAGUAAAAUCUAGAAAUAAGUAUAACUAUGCAUACAACCGCUUCAUGGACUACCGUACGAAUAAAAAUGUAACUUCUUUCUCGGAAAAUGUUGUAAUGGCAUACUUCUUGGAACUUGGAUUCUUCAACUUUAUGGGCCAAUUAUUCAAUGCUGAAGGCAACCCUUGCAAUUAGAGAUGAUGUGGAUAUAUCUGAAUAUUCAAAACUUCGGGCAUUCCUGAAACAACAAGCACAUGCCUAUAAGCCAAAAAAAUCCAAGAUUUUAACUAAAAAAGAAAUAAACAAAUUUAUUCAGGAAGCUCCAGACAAGGAAUAUUUAAUGAUUAAGGUAGCUGUAAUAUUUGGAAUUUCCGGAGCUUGCAGAAUGGACGAGCUGGUUAAAAUGACUGUAUUAGAUAUACAAGACCUACUAUCUAAACUUUUAGUUACCAUACCGGAUUCAAAAACCAAUACAUCAAGAUCAUUUAUAGUAAUAGUUAUUGUCAUACAAAUAAAAUUAUUAGUUUGGAAAAUAUUCAACAAAAUAAUGCUAUUAGUUCCCAAGUUCUUUCAGUUUUCAAUACUUGUACUAAUUGUCAAAUAACAGUAAAUAUAACAAAUAAUAAGUAAUAAUUUUAAAAUAUAAUAUUAACCUUGUUUGUGCUGAAAGUUUUAAAAAUAAAAUUGUUUAGGAAAAAG